UUUUCAUUUCGGUAGAUCCAGAUUUACUUUUCAAUCACAUCCAUAGCGAACUGUUGCUCAAGGAAAACACAAAGGUUACUUGUCCAAUCUGCAACACGGAGUUGGUGACGGAUAACGCAUUUCAGAUGUGUGUUAUGUCAGAAGAUGAGAAGUGUUUCUACAAAGAGAAAAUAAAAAUGAAUCGGGGUAUAAGGCACCAACUGCAUCAAUUUGUAAGGCAGUGGAGUGUUAUGUCUGAAUAUGCUGACAACAUCGUAAAUCCAUAAACGAUGAUUUUUCAAAAUAAACUUUUAAUAUUCUCUGUAUGUUCUAUACUAUCGAUUAUUUUCUCGUAUGUAGCUUAUACUAAAAUACCGGUAUGUGUUUAUCUUAAUCUUGAUAUUUAAUCUUCGUCUUUUUAUAACUGUACAGUUUAAUUUCAUUUACAUGCUAAAUGUUUUAACAUUUUUUUAUACUGUAUUACUUCUAUUUUACCUUGGCUUGUUUUCUUCUUAAGCUUGUUUGAUAUAAGUGUCCAGAAUGCAUUGUUAAAUUAUGCGCAAAACGUUUAUAAAAUGACCAUAUACAUACAUGUACAAUAUUGCUAUCAUAACUGUAAAAUUUCAACUAAGAAAUUCUUAUCGUUUAUCUUUAUUAGGGGCACUACCCUUUAUAUACAGUAUCCAAGCUCCCAUUUCAUUAUCCAGAGCAUUUCAGUUUAUGUUUUUUUUUUGCUGAGAACGAAGGCUUUGAUCACAGGUUAUAGCUUUAAGCAUAGGGAUUUUUCGCUGUAUACUCAGAAACCUUUUUCAGAAAGCGAAGAUUAUUUACAUACUUAUUUCAAAGUUGAAAAUAGCAUGUCAAUCGUAUUCAUAGACCUUCAUUGUACAACUACAGCAUUUUAAGCUCCCCUAGCUGAGUCGAACUCUCAAGUUAGCUUUUAUGAUCUAAAUUUAUCCGUUGUCUGCCUCAUUAUAUAUUGUCGUCGUUGUUCUCAUCAGCUUUUUAAGUUGACAUCUUCUCCAAAACUCUGAGUCAAUUUCAACCAUACUCAAAACAAAGUAUACUUGGGUAAAGUAAAUCCAAAUCUGUUCAAAUGAAGUGUCACACCCUCCUCCAAGGGAAGAUAAUUAUUCAAAAGUGGAAAGUAAAUUGCGUCGAUGAAAAAGAAGAAAUGGGUCAGGAAAAAUGUGGAAACUAAUGUGGAAUCAUUUUCUGUUGUGUUCAUUCAGGUUUGUUCCAAUCAUGACCCCCGGAGGGAAUCAAAACGUUCAAGUUUUUAUAAAGGAGUGCAAAGGAAAAAUCUUCAAAAAAUCCCCUUCUCAUGAACAAUAAAGAUUUGAUUGGUAAUACUUAUGGAAGCAUUAUUCUGCGUUAGUGUAGGUUCAAGUUUUUUUUUUUCAAAUCAAGACUCCUGAUGGUAGGGUUUGGCCAUAAUGGACGAUUACAGUUUAACAUAGGAGUAUCAGUAUUUAGGAAACUUGUAUCAAUAUCUUUUUCUCAAGAACACAAACGAUCGUCAUAUCUAUAGGGAAACAUCCUCGGAUAGCGUUGAUUCAAAUUUGUACAAAUCAUAACCCCUUGGGGUAUGGUAGGGCCACAAUGAAAGUUCAAAUUUGAGGGAAGAAAUAUAAGAAUAGUAAAAAAAAGAAAUGUAAGCAUCAUUAGUUAUUUCAAUUUUGUACAAAUUAUACCUCCAUCUCAAUCAGGGCUACUUAUACUUUUAGCUUUUCAAAUAAUCAGAUAAUGAUCUUUUCCUUAACCACAGUGUGCAGAUGAUCGUUGUGGCCCCAGGGUCCCUUGUUUUCUGCUGCCGUGAGUGGAAUCCUUUUGCCCUCUGAGAAAACACCAUCCUUAAAUGUAGCUACAUGAAGCCCAUUGCAAUUUAAAGAAAUAAUAGGGGUCAAAACAUUCUCAUACCGUUGGAAUUAAAAAAAGUCUACUUGUUUUAUGUACAUCAAUAAACUAAGUUACAGUGUAGAUGCAGAUCUGUACAUAGCUAAUUUUUUCUUUCUUUUAUUUUGUAAAGAUAUAAUUGAUUUUUUUUUAAGUGUGUGGACAAGGGUUAUCUCAAUGUAGCAUUUGAAAUAAAAUUAAACUAAUCAUAAACAUGGUUUUGUUUAUACCUUACCUUACUAAAUGCAUAUGGCAUGCAAUCUUCGAAAUCUACAGCACAAGCCCCAAUUUUUUUUUUAAGUAAACAUUUCAUCAACAUUCUUCACACACACCCUUUUCUUCGUGGAAUUCUUGCAAUUUCAGAAUUUCAGGCGGAAAAUGUUUCCCGACCCUAAAAGAAUAUCUGAUAUUUUGACUGAAACGGUUUGAGUGUUUAUAGUUGUUCGUCAGAUUAUUUUUUCGAGCCUACCCCUUAAAUAAUUUUCAAUGUCAGUAAUUAAAAAUAAAUACAUGGUAAACCUUCA